UACGUAGGGGGCAAGCGUUGUCCGGAUUUAUUGGGCGUAAAGAGCGUGUAGGCGGCCUGAAAGGUCAGCUGUGAAACUCGAGGCUCAACCUCGAGACGUCGGUUGAAACCAUCUGGCUAGAGUCCGGAAGAGGAGUGUGGAAUUCCCGGUGUAGCGGUGAAAUGCGCAGAUAUCGGGAAGAACACCCGUGGCGAAGGCGGCACUCUGGGACGGUACUGACGCUGAGACGCGAAAGCGUGGGAGCGAACGAGG
rnacentral:rRNA from 1 species